GGGACACGUGGUAUCCUGUCUGAAUAUGGGGGGACCAUCCUCCAAGGCUAAAUACUCCUGACUGACCGAUAGUGAACCAGUACCGUGAGGGAAAGGCGAAAAGAACCCCGGCGAGGGGAGUGAAAAAGAACCUGAAACCGUGUACGUACAAGCAGUGGGAGCACGCUUAGGCGUGUGACUGCGUACCUUUUGUAUAAUGGGUCAGCGACUUAUAUUCUGUAGCAAGGUUAACCGAAUAGGGGAGCCGAAGGGAAACCGAGUCUUAACUGGGCGUUAAGUUGCAGGGUAUAGACCCGAAACCCGGUGAUCUAGCCAUGGGCAGGUUGAAGGUUGGGUAACACUAACUGGAGGACCGAACCGACUAAUGUUGAAAAAUUAGCGGAUGACUUGUGGCUGGGGGUGAAAGGCCAAUCAAACCGGGAGAUAGCUGGUUCUCCCCGAAAGCUAUUUAGGUAGCGCCUCGUGAAUUCAUCUCCGGGGGUAGAGCACUGUUUCGGCAAGGGGGUCAUCCCGACUUACCAACCCGAUGCAAACUGCGAAUACCGGAGAAUGUUAUCACGGGAGACACACGGCGGGUGCUAACGUCCGUCGUGAAGAGGGAAACAACCCAGACCGCCAGCUAAGGUCCCAAAGUCAUGGUUAAGUGGGAAACGAUGUGGGAAGGCCCAGACAGCCAGGAUGUUGGCUUAGAAGCAGCCAUCAUUUAAAGAAAGCGUAAUAGCUCACUGGUCGAGUCGGCCUGCGCGGAAGAUGUAACGGGGCUAAACCAUGCACCGAAGCUGCGGCAGCGACGCUUAUGCGUUGUUGGGUAGGGGAGCGUUCUGUAAGCCUGUGAAGGUGUGCUGUGAGGCAUGCUGGAGGUAUCAGAAGUGCGAAUGCUGACAUAAGUAACGAUAAAGCGGGUGAAAAGCCCGCUCGCCGGAAGACCAAGGGUUCCUGUCCAACGUUAAUCGGGGCAGGGUGAGUCGACCCCUAAGGCGAGGCCGAAAGGCGUAGUCGAUGGGAAACAGGUUAAUAUUCCUGUACUUGGUGUUACUGCGAAGGGGGGACGGAGAAGGCUAUGUUGGCCGGGCGACGGUUGU
rnacentral:rRNA from 1 species